rnacentral:rRNA from 1 species
CCUACGGGAGGCAGCAGUGGGGAAUAUUGGGCAAUGGGCGCAAGCCUGACCCAGCAACGCCGCGUGAAGGAAGAAGGCUUUCGGGUUGUAAACUUCUUUUGUCAGGGACGAAGCAAGUGACGGUACCUGACGAAUAAGCCACGGCUAACCUCGUGCCAGCAGCCGCGGUAAUACGUAGGUGGCAAGCGUUAUCCGUAUUUACUGGGUGUAAAGGGCGUGGAGGCGGGACUGCAAGGCAGAUGGGAAAACCACGGGCUCAACCUGUGGCCUGCAUUUGAAACUGUAGUUCUUGAGUACUGGAGAGGCAGACGGAAUUCCUAGUGUAGCGGUGAAAUGCGUAGAUAUUAGGAGGAAAACCAGUGGCGAAGGCGGUCUGCUGGACAGCAACUGACGCUGAGGCGCGAAAGCGUGGGGAGCAAACAGGAUUAGAUACCCUUGUAGUC